rnacentral:rRNA from 1 species
CAGCAGCCGCGGUAACACGAAGGGUGCAAGCGUUAAUCGGAAUUACUGGGCGUAAAGCGUGCGUAGGCGGUGAGUUAAGUCUGCUGUGAAAUCCCCGGGCUCAACCUGGGAAUGGCAGUGGAUACUGGCUCGCUAGAGUGUGUCAGAGGAUGGUGGAAUUCCCGGUGUAGCGGUGAAAUGCGUAGAGAUCGGGAGGAACAUCAGUGGCGAAGGCGGCCAUCUGGGACAACACUGACGCUGAGGCACGAAAGCGUGGGGAGCAAACAGGAUUAGAUACCCCAGUAGUCCCUGUCUCUUAUAC